rnacentral:rRNA from 1 species
UAUUAGGCAAAUCCGGUACUCGUUAAGGCUGAGCUGUGAUGGGGAGAAGACAUUGUGUCUUCGAGUCGUUGAUUUCACACUGCCGAGAAAAGCCUCUAGAUAGAAAAUAGGUGCCCGUACCGCAAACCGACACAGGUAGUCAAGAUGAGAAUUCUAAGGUGAGCGAGCGAACUCUCGUUAAGGAACUCGGCAAAAUGACCCCGUAACUUCGGGAGAAGGGGUGCUCUUUAGGGUUAACGCCCAGAAGAGCCGCAGUGAAUAGGCCCAAGCGACUGUUUAUCAAAAACACAGGUCUCUGCUAAACCGUAAGGUGAUGUAUAGGGGCUGACGCCUGCCCGGUGCUGGAAGGUUAAGAGGAGUGGUUAGCUUCUGCGAAGCUACGAAUCGAAGCCCCAGUAAACGGCGGCCGUAACUAUAACGGUCCUAAGGUAGCGAAAUUCCUUGUCGGGUAAGUUCCGACCCGCACGAAAGGCGUAACGAUUUGGGCACUGUCUCAACGAGAGACUCGGUGAAAUCAUAGUACCUGUGAAGAUGCAGGUUACCCGCGACAGGACGGAAAGACCCCGUGGAGCUUUACUGUAGCCUGAUAUUGAAAUUCGGCACAGCUUGUACAGGAUAGGUAGGAGCCUUUGAAACGUGAGCGCUAGCUUACGUGGAGGCGCUGGUGG